rnacentral:rRNA from 1 species
GACGUAGGUGGCGAACGUUAUCCGGAAUUAUUGGGCGUAAAGAGCUCGUAGGCGGCCUGUUGCGUCCGCUGUGAAAGCCCGGGGCUUAACCCCGGGUCUGCAGUGGAUACGGGCAGGCUAGAGGUAGGUAGGGGAGAAUGGAAUUCCCGGUGUAGCGGUGAAAUGCGCAGAUAUCGGGAGGAACACCGGUGGCGAAGGCGGUUCUCUGGGCCUUACCUGACGCUGAGGAGCGAAAGCGUGGGGAGCGAACAGG